UAGGUUCUCAAAGGAGAGGAGCUGAGGCUCGGACUCCAUCAUCCUCAAAAACUGGGGUCUAGAAGGCUGGGUUCCUGGAUCCUCGAAGAGGGAGGAGGCAGGGGGCCUGGAUUCCUGGGUUCUCACUGUGAAUCUCUGCCCCUCCCCCAGACCAUGUCGCCUGAAGAAUGGACGUAUCUAGUGGUUCUUCUUAUCUCCAUCCCCAUCGGCUUCCUCUUUAAGAAAGCCGGUGAGUAAGGCUCCCUCCCCAGUGGAAAAUAAAGGGGGGGGGACCCUCUGGAAGGUUCCAGGCUUAUGCUGUCCCUUCCCCCUGCAGGUCCUGGGCUGAAGAGAUGGGGAGCAGCCGCUGUGGGCCUGGGGCUCACCCUGUUCACCUGUGGCCCCCACACUUUGCAUUCUCUGGUCACCAUCCUCGGGACCUGGGCCCUCAUUCAGGCCCAGCCCUGGUGAGAAUUUGGUGGAGGGAGGAGAGGGAGAGGAGGGGAGAGGGGGAAGCAACCUGUUUCCUCUUUGAGUCUUUUUCAGCUUCUGCCUCAUCUCUAGCUGUCUCUUGUUGAUCAGCUCAUUUCUCUGUUUCAUGUUUGUUUGUUUGUUUUUCUUUCUUUCUUUCUUUUUGAGAUGGAGUUUCGCUCCUGUUACCCAGGCUGCAGUUCAGUGGCACGAUCUUGGCUCACUGCAACUUCCACCUCCCGGGUUCAAGCGAUUCUUUUGCCUCAGCCUCCCAAGUAGCUGGGAUUACAGGCAUGCUCCACCACGCCUGGCUAAUUUUGAAUUUUUAAUAGAGCCGGGGUUUCUCCAUGUUGGUCAGGCUGAUCUCGAACUCCUGACCUUGUGAUCUGCCCGCCUCAGCCUUCCAAAGUGCUGGGAUUACAGGCGUGAGCCACCGCGCCCGGCCUUCAUCUGCUUUUCUUCCUCCCCCGCCUUCUGCAUCUGGUCCCUGGGAGAGCUGGGGGAGGAUUGGUGGCUGGACUCGUGGAGUGAGUGGCCAAGGCCGAGACUUCUGUGCCCAACACAGUGCGCCUCCUGCUUUUGCCCAGCUCCUGCCACGCCCUGGCUCUGGCCUGGACUUAAGGUCAGACUCGGGGCUUGCCACUCCCCUCCAGCCUCCCUGUACUUGCUGCCCUGGGUACAGCAUUCCCCAUUCACAUGCAACUAGGGCAUCCAGGUCUGGCUCCUAAUCACCUGGGAAGAGGGGUGAAAACAAAAAAUACAAAAGAUUAGCUGGGCGUGGUGGCACAUACCUGUAAUCCCAGCUACUUCGGGAGGCUGAGGCAGGAGAAUUGCUUGAACCCAGGAGGCGGAGGUUGUGGUGAGCUGAGAUCGUACCAUUGCACUCCAGCCUGGGCAACAAGAGCAAAACUCCAUCUCAAAAAUAAAUAAACAAAUAGAAAUACUCAUUCUAGGCCAGCUGCGGUGGCUCAUGCCUGUAAUCCCAGCACUUUGGGAGGCUGACGCGGGUAGAUCACCUGAGGUUAGGAGUUUGAGACCAUCCUGGCCAACAUGGUAAAACUCCGUCUCUACUAAAAAUACAAAAAUGAGCCGGGUGUGGUGGCUCACACCUGUAAUCCCAGCUACUCAGGAGGCUGAGGCAGGAUAAUUGCUUGAACCUGGAAGGUGGAGGUUGCAGUGAGCCAAGAUCCCGCCAUUGCACUCCAGCCUGGGCCUUCCCGGGCAAGAUUCCAUCUCAAAAAAAAAAGAAAAGAAAAGAAAUAAAACUCGUUCUGGAUGCUGAAGGAGAAUUGAAGUGGAACAGGGCAAGAUGGGAUGGACUCAGAUGAUCCUCCUUUGUCCGAGUCCAGGUGACAAACUGUGGUGGCUUGAUACAGGCCGUUGGCUGGCUGUGGGUAGGUCUGAGUUGCAGCAGGAAAUGCGCAUUUAGGAUGACUGAAGGAGUGGCCACCAAUUGGGCAGGAUGUAGAGGAGCAAGAAGGGAUGGUGCCUGAACCCCAGCCCGGCAGAAGGAGCCGUUCCUAACCCUAGGCCCAGGGGAAAUGGGUCAGGUUGUGGUACCUGGAUGGAAAAAGGGUUGUGUAGGCCUGGUGCAGUGGCUCAUACUUGUAUAAUCCCAGCGCUUUGGGAGGUCAUAGUGGGAGGACUGCUGGAGGCCAGGAGUUUAAGACGAGCCUGGGCAAUAUAGUGAGACCCUGUCUCUACAAAAAAUUAAUUUUUAAAAUUUUAUUUAUUUUUAAAGAUGGAGUCUCACUCUGUUGCCCAGGCUGGAGUGCAGUGGUGUGAUCUCACUGCAACCUCUGCCUCUCGGGUUUGAGCGAUUCUCCUGCCUCAGCCUCUCGAGUAGCUGGGACUACAGGCGCCCACCACCACGCCUUGCUAAUUUUUAUAUUUUUAGUAGAGAUGGGGUUUCACCAUGUUGGCCGGGCUGGUCUCAAACCCCUGACAUCAAGUGAUCUGCCUGCCUAGGCCAACAAAAGUGCUAGUGUUAUAGGUGUGAGCCGUCACACCUUUUUUUUUUUUUUUUGAGACGGAGUUUCACUCUUGUUGCCCAGGCUGGAGUGCAAUGGUACGAUCUUGGCUUACCGCAACCUCCGCCUCCCAGGUUCAAGCAAUUCUCCUGCCUCAGCCUCCCGAGUAGCUGGAAUUACAGGCACGCACCACCAUGCCCGGCUAAUUUUUUGUAUUUUUAGUAGAGACGGGGUUUCUCCAUGUUGGUCAGGCUGAUCUCGAACUCCCGACCUCAGGUGAUCCGCCUGCCUCGGCCUCCCAAAGUGCUGGGAUUACAGGCAUGAGCCACCGCGCCCGGCCAAAAUUAUUUUUUUUAAAGGGUGUGUAGAGCCACCCACCUUGAAAUGAUCUAUCAAGGGUGACAGCCAGC
rnacentral:lncRNA from 1 species